rnacentral:rRNA from 1 species
AACGAACGCUGGCGGCAGGCUUAACACAUGCAAGUCGAACACACCUUUCGGGGUGAGUGGCAGACGGGUGAGUAACGCGUGGGAAUCUACCCUUCUCUACGGGAUAGCUCCGGGAAACUGGAAUUAAUACCGUAUACGUCCUGAGGGAGAAAGAUUUAUCGGGGAAGGAUGAGCCCGCGUUGGAUUAGCUAGUUGGUGGGGUAAAGGCCUACCAAGGCGACGAUCCAUAGCUGGUCUAAGAGGAUGAUCAGCCACAUUGGGACUGAGACACGGCCCAAACUCCUACGGGAGGCAGCAGUGGGGAAUAUUGGACAAUGGGCGCAAGCCUGAUCCAGCCAUGCCGCGUGAGUGAUGGAGGCCCUAGGGUUGUAAAGCUCUUUCAGUGGGGACGAUAAUGACUGUACCGGAAGGAUAAGCCCCGGCAAACUUCGUGCCAGCCGCCGCCGUAA